rnacentral:misc_RNA from 1 species
AUGAUGAUGAUGACGAUGAUGAUGCAGAAGAUGAAAAUGAUGAGGAUGAUGGAUGUAAUGAUGGGGAUGAUGACAGCCAAAGCGACGAGGGGCAUGUGGAGGACAGUGAUUGAAUUGAAUCCUGGAUAAGCUGACUCACAGGUCGAUUGAUGGUAGAUAUCUUAGCGGUUGGAGUUUGUGGGUGUAUCAUCUGUUCUGAACAUGUUUAGUUCAAUUUUUUCUACCGUCUUGGGUGUAGGAACAUGGAAUUUGUUUGCAGCUUCUUUUGUUAGUAUAUCAUCUAUAGCUGAUUUGUAACUUAUACAAGGGGUAUCUUUCCCUGAAAAAAUUAGCUUCAAAUAUAAACCAGUACUUGUGUAUGUGGAUGCAUGUUACGGUUUGGUUUCAGUCAACCACCCAUAAAAGGUCUUUAUGAGAUUAUACAUAUGGCCAAUGAACAGUUACAUGGCUGAUGCAUGUGUGCG